rnacentral:rRNA from 1 species
AGUGAACGCUGGCGGUAGGCCUAACACAUGCAAGUCGAACGGCAGCACAGGAGAGCUUGCUCUCUGGGUGGCGAGUGGCGGACGGGUGAGGAAUACAUCGGAAUCUACUCUGUCGUGGGGGAUAACGUAGGGAAACUUACGCUAAUACCGCAUACGACCUACGGGUGAAAGCAGGGGACCUUCGGGCCUUGCGCGAUUGAAUGAGCCGAUGUCGGAUUAGCUAGUUGGCGGGGUAAAGGCCCACCAAGGCGACGAUCCGUAGCUGGUCUGAGAGGAGGAUCAGCCACACUGGAACUGCGACACGGUCCAGACUCAUACGGGAGGCAGCAGUGGGGAAUAUUGGACAAUGGGCGCGAGCCUGAUCCAGCCAUACCGCGUGGGUGAAGAAGGCCUUCGGGUUGUAAAGCCCUUUUGUUGGGAAAGAAAUCCAGCUGGCUAAUACCCGGUUGGGAUGACGGUACCCAAAGAAUAAGCACCGGCUAACUUCGUGCCAGCAGCCGCCGUAA